UGGGGAAUAUUGGACAAUGGGCGCAAGCCUGAUCCAGCCAUGCCGCGUGUGUGAAGAAGGCCUUAGGGUUGUAAAGCACUUUCAGUGGGGAGAAAGGUUUGCUGCUUAAUACGCAGUGAGAUUGAUGUUACCCACAGAAGAAGCACCGGCUAACUCCGUGCCAGCAGCCGCGGUAAUACGGAGGGUGCAAGCGUUAAUCGGAAUUACUGGGCGUAAAGCGCACGUAGGUGGUUUUCUAAGCCAGCUGUGAAAUCCCUGGGCUCAACCUAGGCACUGCAGUUGGAACUGGGAAGCUAGAGUAGGGUAGAGGGGUGUGGAAUUCCAGGUGUAGCGGUGAAAUGCGUAGAUAUCUGGAGGAACAUCAGUGGCGAAGGCGACACCCUGGACUCAUACUGACACU
rnacentral:rRNA from 1 species